ensembl:snRNA U6 U6 spliceosomal RNA
GCACUUACUUAAGCAGUUCAUAUACUAAAAUCGGAACAACACAGAGAAGGUUAGCAUGGCCCCCACUUGGGGAUAAAAUAUAAAUUCAAGAAGCAUUUUGU